GCUGCAACUCGCCUGCAUGAAGUUGGAAUUGCUAGUAAUCGCGAAUCAGAAUGUCGCGGUGAAUACGUUCCCGGGCCUUGUACACACCGCCCGUCACACCAUGAGAGUCGAUAACACCCGAAGCCUGUGAGCUAACCGCAAGGAGGCAGCAGUCGAAGGUGGGGUUGAUGAUUGGGGUGAAGUCGUAACAAGGUAAC
rnacentral:rRNA from 1 species